rnacentral:rRNA from 1 species
UAGAGUUUGAUCCUGGCUCAGGAUGAACGCUAGCUACAGGCUUAACACAUGCAAGUCGAGGGGCAUCAGGAAGAAAGCUUGCUUUCUUUGCUGGCGACCGGCGCACGGGUGAGUAACACGUAUCCAACCUGCCCUUUACUCGGGGAUAGCCUUUCGAAAGAAAGAUUAAUACCCGAUAGCAUAAUGAUUCCGCAUGGUUUCAUUAUUAAAGGAUUCCGGUAAAGGAUGGGGAUGCGUUCCAUUAGGUUGUUGGUGAGGUAACGGCCCACCAAGCCUUCGAUGGAUAGGGGUUCUGAGAGGAAGGUCCCCCACAUUGGAACUGAGACACGGUCCAAACUCCUACGGGAGGCAGCAGUGAGGAAUAUUGGUCAAUGGGCGAGAGCCUGAACCAGCCAAGUAGCGUGAAGGAUGACUGCCCUAUGGGUUGUAAACUUCUUUUAUAAAGGAAUAAAGUCGGGUAUGGAUACCCGUUUGCAUGUACUUUAUGAAUAAGGAUCGGCUAACUCCGUGCCAGCAGCCGCGGUAAUACGGAGGAUCCGAGCGUUAUCCGGAUUUAUUGGGUUUAAAGGGAGCGUAGAUGGAUGUUUAAGUCAGUUGUGAAAGUUUGCGGCUCAACCGUAAAAUUGCAGUUGAUACUGGAUAUCUUGAGUGCAGUUGAGGCAGGCGGAAUUCGUGGUGUAGCGGUGAAAUGCUUAGAUAUCACGAAGAACUCCGAUUGCGAAGGCAGCCUGCUAAGCUGCAACUGACAUUGAGGCUCGAAAGUGUGGGUAUCAAACAGGAUUAGAUACCCUGGUAGUCCACACGGUAAACGAUGAAUACUCGCUGUUUGCGAUAUACAGCAAGCGGCCAAGCGAAAGCGUUAAGUAUUCCACCUGGGGAGUACGCCGGCAACGGUGAAACUCAAAGGAAU